GUAGUCCACGCCUUAAACGAUGGAUACUCGAUGUCGGUCCGCAAGGAUCGGUGUCUAAGCUAACGCAUUAAGUAUCCCACCUGGGGAGUACGAUCGCAAGGUUGAAACUCAAAGGAAUUGACGGGGGCCCGCACAAGCAGUGGAGCAUGUGGUUCAAUUCGAUGCAACGCGAAGAACCUUACCUGGGUUUGAAAAGCUCUGUAAACCGGUGAAAGCCGGCUAGCGUAGCAAUACGCGCGGAGUACAGGUGCUGCAUGGCUGUCGUCAGCUCGUGCCGUGAGGUGUUAGGUUAAGUCCUGCAACGAGCGCAACCCUUGUCCUAUGUUGCCAGCGGGUUAUGCCGGGGACUCGUAGGAGACUGCCGGGGUCAACUCGGAGGAAGGUGGGGAUGACGUCAAGUCAUCAUGCCCCUUACGUCUUGGGCUGCAAACAUGCUACAAUGGCUGGUACAAAGGGCUGCGAACCUGCGAAGGUGAGCGAAUCCCAUAAAGCCAGUCUCAGUUCGGAUCGUAGUCUGCAACUCGACUGCGUGAAGUCGGAGUCGCUAGUAAUCGCAGAUCAGCAUUGCUGCGGUGAAUA
rnacentral:rRNA from 1 species